rnacentral:rRNA from 1 species
UGUUGCCUACGGGGCGCAGCAGUGGGGAAUAUUGCACAAUGGGGGAAACCCUGAUGCAGCGACGCCGCGUGAGUGAAGAAGUAUUUCGGUAUGUAAAGCUCUAUCAGCAGGGAAGAUAAUGACGGUACCUGACUAAGAAGCCCCGGCUAACUACGUGCCAGCAGCCGCGGUAAUACGUAGGGGGCAAGCGUUAUCCGGAUUUACUGGGUGUAAAGGGAGCGUAGGUGGCAGGGCAAGUCAGAUGUGAAAACCCGGGGCUCAACUCCGGGAGUGCAUUUGAAACUGUCCAGCUAGAGGGCCGGAGG